rnacentral:rRNA from 1 species
ACGAACGCUGGCGGCGUGCUUAACACAUGCAAGUCGAACGAAGAGCGAUGGAAGCUUGCUUCUAUCAAUCUUAGUGGCGAACGGGUGAGUAACGCGUAAUCAACCUGCCCUUCAGAGGGGGACAACAGUUGGAAACGACUGCUAAUACCGCAUACGAUCUAAUCUCGGCAUCGAGGAUAGAUGAAAGGUGGCCUCUACAUGUAAGCUAUCACUGACGGAGGGGAUUGCGUCUGAUUAGCUAGUGGGAGGGGUAACGGCCCACCAAGGCGAUGAUCAGUAGCCGGUCUGAGAGGAUGAACGGCCACAUUGGGACUGAGACACGGCCCAGACUCCUACGGGAGGCAGCAGUGGGGAAUCUUCCGCAAUGGACGAAAGUCUGACGAAGCAACGCCGCGUGAGUGAUGACGGCCUUCGGGUUGUAAAGCUCUGUUAAUCGGGACGAAAGGCCUUCUUGCGAAUAGUGAGAAGGAUUGACGGUACCGGAAGAGAAAGCCACGGCUAACUACGUG